AGAGAGGCGCGGGGUGAAAGGGCAGGUUGUGAGGCGCCCCGGGGGCGGCUGGAAAGGCGGCGACCGGCAGGUAUCUCCGCCCAGCGGUGGGAAACCGAAGCCAGAGAGGGUGAGAUGACUUGUCCACGCCCACCAGGAGGAACCGCUGACGAAAGCCGGUUCCCCGCCGAGUCACGGAUCGACUCCGCGUGUUUCCUGCUGUCGGAUGGUCGGCCCGCUCCUCCCAUUUUCUGAUUCAGUUAAACUUGAUGAGCAAAGACAUUUGAACAGUGCGACCCACCGGUGAGAGGGGAAAACGCGCCUGCCGUUCUCCAUGCACCUUAAUUUUUUUUAAAAAAAAGAUUUUAUUUAUUUAUUUAUUCGUGAGAGACACGGCAGAGGGAGAAGCAGGCUCCACGCAGGGAGCCCGACGUGGGACUCGACGUGGGACUCGACCCCGGGUCUCCAGGGUCACGCCCUGGGCCGAAGGCAGCCGCCAACCCGCUGAGCCACCCGGGCUGCCCUACACUUUAAUUCUUCGCGAAAAAUUGUUCCUAGCUCCCUUUCUGAGUGAUUUGAUUUCACUAUGACUUGUUCUCACUCGUAGGGCAGAGAGACCAGUUAAUGAAGUUGAAAAAUGACUAUUUCCUUGGCACGUCUCGAAUUCCAUUAGGUACAUAAGUAAACGGAUGCCUACUAUUUGCAGUUGUGGAGGGUUGUUGUGUUUUGUGUUUGUUUUGUUUUGUUUUGUUUUUCCUGUAGAGAAUUGUUGGGAGAAAGGGAUUGAACUUAUUUUUUUUUUUUUUAAAACCAGGACUUAAAGGCGUCAGAGAGCUGCCUAGUGAUUGAUAUUUUGGGUAAUCAAACUUCUCAGUAUCCCCUAAGCAAGGUUCGUUUCUGUAUGCUAGAGAUUUGGUUCGGGGAAUCCGUAGGUAUGGCUGUAAACUGGCGCUGUAUAGAAAUGAUUUCUCGGUUUGUGCACCUGGUCUCCCGAGACCCCCUGAGCGCCCCCCCCCCCCCCCCCCCGCUCCCCUCCCCUCCCCUCCGCGCGCGGUCCCAUUUCUGCUCCAACAAGAGGAAAGAAACCAUUGUGAACGGGGAGAAACUCGCCAAACUGCAAGCACAGGUGCGCAUUGGUGGGAAAGGAACUGCUUGCCGAGAGAAGAAGGUGGUUCACAGAAGAGCUGCAGCAGAUGAUUAAAAACAAAACAAAACAAAACGAAACAAAACAAAACCUUCAGUUCUCCUUAAAGAAGUUAGGGGUAAACAAUAUCUCUGUUAUUGAAGAAGUGAGUAUGUUCACAAACCAAGGAACAGUGAUCCACUUGAACCACCCUGCAGUUCAGGCAUCCCUGUCAGCGAACACUUGGACCAUUAUAGGCCAUGUGGAGACCAAGCAGCUGAUGGAAAUGUGACCCAGUGUUUUAAACCAGCUUGGUGCAGACAGUCUGACUAGUUUAAGAAGACUGGCUGAAGCUCUGCCCAAACAUCUGUGGAUGGAGAAGCAAGCACCACUUGCCACCAGAGAGGAGGAGAAGGAGGAGGAUGAAGUUCCAGAUCUUGUGGAGAAUUUUGAUGAAGCUUCUAAGAAAGAAGCAAACUGCAUGGAGUCAACUUCUGAAGAAGAUAAAACUUGAAGAAGUUACUGGGAGCUGCUCUUUCAUAUUAUGACUGCUUUUUUUUUUUUAUGACUGCUUUUUAAAAUUUUGUUCAUGGAUCUGAUAAAAAUCUAGAUCUCUUAAUAUUUUUAAGCCCAAGCCCCUUGGACACUGCAGCUCUUUCAGUUUUUGCUUAUACACAAUUCAUUCUUUGCAGCUAAUUAAGAUGAAGAAGCCUGGGGAUAA
rnacentral:lncRNA from 1 species